AACGAACGCUGGCGGCAUGCCUAACACAUGCAAGUCGAACGAGACCUUCGGGUCUAGUGGCGCACGGGUGCGUAACGCGUGGGAACCUGCCCUUAGGUUCGGAAUAACUCCCCGAAAGGGGUGCUAAUACCGGAUAAUGUCUUCGGACCAAAGAUUUAUCGCCUUUGGAUGGGCCCGCGUUGGAUUAGCUAGUUGGUAGGGUAAAAGCCUACCAAGGCGACGAUCCAUAGCUGGUCUGAGAGGAUGAUCAGCCACACUGGGACUGAGACACGGCCCAGACUCCGACGGGAGGCAGCAGUGGGGAAUAUUGGACAAUGGGCGAAAGCCUGAGCCAGCAAUGCCGCGUGAGUGAUGAAGGCCUUAGGGUUGUAAAGCUCUUUUACCCGGGAUGAUAAUGACAGUACCGGGAGAAUAAGCUCCGGCUAACUCCGUG
rnacentral:rRNA from 1 species